rnacentral:lncRNA from 10 species
CGCCACCAUGACCCACUAAUUUUUUUUUUUUUUGGAUUUUUAGUAGAGUCGGGGUUUCACUGUGUUAGCCAGGAUGGUCUCAACCUCCUGACCUCGUGAUCUGCCUGCCUCUGCCUCCCAGAGUGCUGGGAUUACAGGUGUGAGCCACCGCGCCCGGCCUGGAACUGCAAUUUCUAACUCAUACAUCAUUGCUAUAAACCUUAUUUGUUUACUGUUUCUCUUCCAAGGACGGUCAGUCAUCCUUUAAAAUUCAUUUGAAGUUAUGAAAAGAUAGUUUUUGUUACAUGGGAAAUUUACUUUUAGUACAGUAAAAUGUUAUGUGAAUUUCUACAGAAUGUUUGCUAGAAUGAAUUAUAUCUAGGAUAUGCUUAACAAUAUAUUCUGGAGGCAGCUUUCAUUUGAAAUUAGGUUCAUCUUCUGAGAGUAUUAAAAAGUUAAUGGGUUUUUGUGCCUGAAGAUUUUGAUGUUGCAUUUGGCUACAUUUAAUCCACUUUCACCCAUAAGGUUUAGCAUCUAAAAAAAUUAAAUCACUGCUAAUGCAAUUAAAAUGACUG